GGAAUGGAUGGAUAUAAAGAUUAAUUCCUUUGUUUCUGUGUGCUUAUCGUAUAGCUUCAAAGGAAACAUCAAUAUUCGGCAAGAGACAAUAACGGUGAAGGCGGAAGCGGCAUUGGCAAGAACGGAGGCGCGAUAGAGGAACUGCGCAGUGCUUUCGAAACAGCGGAACGCACUUCGCCAGGAAUGACCGAGGCCCUUAUCAGGGAGCUCCUCAAGUCUUUACUUCCUGCCAAUCACUCGGAAGGUUGCCUGUUUAUGCUGAUGGAAAAAGUUAUCCUAAGGGAUACGUAGGGACGCGAGAGAGCGAGGGUUCGCAAGAGAUUGUGGUCCGAAAACAUCCUGACAUUGUAACGAUUCGUUAUUUCUCGUUUAUCAGAGUAAUUAAUCCGUACGAUGCCGGUGUAUAUGUUGUUGACGAUUACCGGAUCCGAAGAGAAGAGUAGAUGAAGAACGUCGCUGCAACAGCCCGGAUAUUUUCUUUCCCUUCGGUCUGCAGAGACUGGGCUCGACAACAAAGCUCGUCAAAUUGUAACUUUUAUCCGAUUAUCCCGUUUCCAAUGUCCAAUUCAACGCGAAGUGCUCGUUAGAUAGAGAGAAAUAAAAUAUUAAAUAGCGACAUAUUUUAUCGCGCGAAAUUCACACAUUUUAACAGCGAUAAUAUCGAUUAUUUCCGUUCGAGAAAUAGAGAUUUAUCUACUACAGUAAAAAAAGAAAA